GAAUCAACUCUACCCACAGAAAC
rnacentral:snRNA from 1 species